GACGAACCGAGCGAACGUUGUUCGGACUCACUGGGCUUAAAGGGCGCGUAGGCGGGUGAUCAAGUCCGGGGUGAAAUCCUCCAGCUCAACUGGAGAACUGCCUCGGAUACUGUUGCCUCGAGGAAGGUAGGGGUGUGUGGAACGUUCAGUGGAGCGGUGAAAUGCAUUGAUAUUGAACGGAACUCCGGUGGCGAAGGCGACACACUGGACCUUUUCUGGCGCUGAGGCGCGAAAGCUAGGGGAGCAAACGGG
rnacentral:rRNA from 1 species